GACGAACGCUGGCGGCGUGCCUAAUACAUGCAAGUAGAACGCACAGUUUAUACCGUAGCUUGCUACACCAUAAACUGUGAGUUGCGAACGGGUGAGUAACGCGUAGGUAACCUGCCUGGUAGCGGGGGAUAACUAUUGGAAACGAUAGCUAAUACCGCAUAAUAUUGAUUAUUGCAUGAUAAUUGAUUGAAAGAUGCUAUUGCAUCACUACCAGAUGGACCUGCGUUGUAUUAGCUAGUAGGUGAGGUAACGGCUCACCUAGGCGACGAUACAUAGCCGACCUGAGAGGGUGAUCGGCCACACUGGGACUGGGACACGGCCCAGACUCCUACGGGAGGCAGCAGUAGGGAAUCUUCGGCAAUGGACGAAAGUCUGACCGAGCAACGCCGCGUGAGUGAAGAAGGUUUUCGGAUCGUAAAGCUCUGUUGUAAGGGAAGAACGGGUGUGAGAGUGGAAAGUUCACACUGUGACGGUACCUUACCAGAAAGGGACGGCUAACUACGUG
rnacentral:rRNA from 1 species